rnacentral:rRNA from 1 species
UAGGGAAUCUUCGGCAAUGGACGGAAGUCUGACCGAGCAACGCCGCGUGAGUGAAGAAGGUUCUCGGAUCGUAAAGCUCUGUUGUCAGAGAAGAACGUUGGUAGGAGCGGAAAAUCUACCAAGUGACGGUAACUAACCAGAAAGGGACGGCUACCUACGUGCCAGCAGCCGCGGUAAUACGUAGGGCCCGAGCGUUGUCCGGAUUUAUUGGGCGUAAAGCGAGCGCAGGCGGUUCUUUAAGUCUGAAGUUAAAGGCAGUGGCUUAACCAUUGUACGCUUUGGAAACUGGGGGACUUGAGUGCGGAAGGGGGGAGUGGAAUUCCAUGUGUAGCGGUGAAAUGCGUAGAUAUAUGGAGGAACACCGGUGGCGAAAGCGGCUCUCUGGUCUGUAACUGACGCUGAGGCUCGAAAGCGUGGGGAGCAAACAGG